ensembl:lncRNA
GAGUGCGAGUUUGAGGCCGUGCCUUCCCAGAGGUAGGGACAGGCCUUUCCCCAGGGGGCUUUCCUGCAAGGGUCAUCUUGUCCAUCCCUCUGCCUCCUCCAGGCCUGUCCUACUUGACAAGCCCCUCAGAGCCUCUGUCCCCCAGGGCAGCGGGGAGGCCGCAGCCACUUGCAGCCAUGGAUCUCAAGGCAGUGAUGAGCGGAUCCAGCCCGGCUGAGCACAGGGCGCCUAGGUUCUCACCCAGGGAGGACGAGGAGGAGAGACAGAGGCUGGAUGGAUAAAUCUCGAAAGCUCUCCAGAGGCCUGGUUGAGCCAGACCAGCGAGGAAACAGCAGGCCGCAGCCCAUCACCCACAGUGGCAAAAAGCUCUGAACUUUGACACAACCCAGGCCAGGGGUCAAGUCCUGCGCUGCUCCUUGCUCUCCGUGUGAUCUGAGCCGUUACAUAAGCUCUCCGGGCUUCAUUCUUCACGUGUCUCAGCCUGGACCACCCUUUCAGUGUCCAUCUUUCUCUGUGCAAGAAGGGGAGCCCUCGAGGGUCCGCCCAUCUGUGCCCAGCACCCAGCCCAGAGCUCAAGGGGCUGACCCAGGGAAAGCACUGGCCUAGUGAAGACAAGGGCAGGUGAAGAAUGGAGACAACAAAACGUAUACUGACUCGCUUGAAGUCGCCCAGAUAAUCAGUACAGGGGCCAGGCG